rnacentral:rRNA from 1 species
UACGGAGGGUGCAAACGUUGCUCGGAAUCAUUGGGCGUAAAGCGCACGUAGGCGGUCCAGCAAGUCGGGUGUGAAAGCCCUCGGCUUAACCGUGGAACGGUCCGGCAUACUGCGGUGCUAGAGGAUGGUAGAGGAGAGCGGAACUCUUGGUGGAGCGGUGAAAUGCGUAGAUAUCAAGAGGAACACCGGUGGCGAAGGCGGCUCUCUGGUCCAUGUCUGACGCUGAGGUACGAAAGCUAGGGGAGCAAACGGG